AGAGUUUGAUCAUGGCUCAGAUUGAACGCUGGCGGAAUGCUUUACACAUGAAAGUCGAACGGCAGCACGGGAGCUUGCUCCUGGUGGCGAGUGGCGAACGGGUGAGUAACAUAUCGGAACGUAUCCAAUAAUGGGGGAUAACUAAUCGAAAGGUUGGCUAAUACCGCAUACGCCCUGAGGGGGAAAGCUAGGGAUCUUCGGACCUGGCGUUAAUGGAGCGGCCGAUAUCUGAUUAGCUAGUUGGUGGGGUAGAGGCCUACCAAGGCGACGAUCAGUAGCUGGUCUGAGAGGACGACCAGCCACACUGGAACUGAGACACGGUCCAGACCCCUACGGGAGGCAGCAGUGGGGAAUUUUGGACAAUGGGCGCAAGCCUGAUCCAGCCAUUCCGCGUGAGUGAAGAAGGCCUUCGGGUUGUAGGCUCUUUCGCAAGGAAAGAAAACUUAUCCUCUAACAUAGGGUGAGGUUGACGGUACCUUGAUAAGAAGCACCGGCUAACUACGUGCCAGCAGCCGCGGUAAUACGUAGGGUGCGAGCGUUAAUCGGAAUUACUGGGCGUAAAGCGUGCGCAGGCGGUUCUGUAAGUCAGAUGUGAAAGCCCCGGGCUCAACCUGGGAACUGCGUUUGAAACUACAGGACUAGAGUAUGGCAGAGGGGGGUAGAAUUCCACGUGUAGCAGUGAAAUGCGUAGAGAUGUGGAGGAAUACCAAUGGCGAAGGCAGCCCCCUGGGUCAAUACUGACGCUCAUGCACGAAAGCGUGGGGAGCAAACAGGAUUAGAUACCCUGGUAGUCCACGCCCUAAACGAUGUCUACUAGUUGUUGGGAGAGUAAAAUCUCUUAGUAACGCAGCUAACGCGUGAAGUAGACCGCCUGGGGAGUACGGUCGCAAGAUUAAGACUCAAAGGAAUUGACGGGGGCCCGCACAAGCGGUGGAUUAUGUGGAUUAAUUCGAUGCAACGCGAAAAACCUUACCUGGCCUUGACAUGUACCGAAUUUGGGAGAGAUUCCUUAGUGCUCGAAAGAGAGCGGUAACACAGGUGCUGCAUGGCUGUCGUCAGCUCGUGUCGUGAGAUGUUGGGUUAAGUCCCGCAACGAGCGCAACCCUUGCCAAUAAUUGCCAUCAUUUAGUUGGGCACUUUAUUGGGACUGCCGGUGACAAACCGGAGGAAGGUGGGGAUGACGUCAAGUCCUCAUGGCCCUUAUGGCCAGGGCUUCACACGUAAUACAAUGGUCGGUACAGAGGGUUGCCAACCCGCGAGGGGGAGCUAAUCUCAGAAAGCCGAUCGUAGUCCGGAUUGAAGUCUGCAACUCGACUUCAUGAAGUCGGAAUCGCUAGUAAUCGCGGAUCAGCAUGUCGCGGUGAGUACGUUCCCGGGCCUUGUACACACCGCCCGUCACACCAUGGGAGUGGGUUCCACCAGAAGUAGUUAGUCUAACCGCAAGGAGGACGAUUACCACGGUGGGGUUCAUGACUGGGGUGAAGUCGUAACAAGGUA
rnacentral:rRNA from 1 species